UAUUCCCUACGGGAGGCAGCAGUGAGGAAUAUUGGUCAAUGGGAGAGAUCCUGAACCAGCCAAGCCGCGUGAGGGACGACGGUCCUAUGGAUUGCAAACCCCUUUUGUCGGGGAACAAAGGCGCCCACGGGUGGGCGGAUGAGUGUACCCGAAGAAAAAGCAUCGGCUAACUCCGUGCCAGCAGCCGCGGUAAUACGGAGGAUGCGAGCGUUAUCCGGAUUUAUUGGGUUUAAAGGGUGCGUAGGCGGACAGUCAAGUCAGCGGUAAAAAUGCGGUGCUCAACGCCGUACAGCCGUUGAAACUGG
rnacentral:rRNA from 1 species